GUUAUCCGGAGCAAAGUGCUCCGGCCUCAUUGAAGC
rfam:Thioalkalivibrio halophilus strain HL17 Ga0073316_132, whole genome shotgun sequence.